rnacentral:rRNA from 1 species
CGGGCUAACCAAGUCUUGGGAUUGGAGGUGGGGGUGAGCGCGGGGAGAGGAAGCGAGGACAGGAGGGGGCGGCGCGGCGGUAGAAGGGGCGUGAGCAGCGGCGGCGAGGGCGCACGAGGCGGAGGAGGGGAAGGGAGCAAGAGCACGUCGGCGGCGCCGCGAGGGCGUAGAGGAGGGGAAGGAGAGGGUUGCGGUGCAAGCGCCUCCACGACGUCUAGGGGCGGCUGGUCCGGCGCGACCGCGAGCCCCGCGAGCGGCGGCACGAGGGGCCACUGCUGCUGUGGGGGCGUCGCCUGCUGCGCAGCCUCCGGCUGGAGGUGCGUUUGGGAUCGCGUCGAGUUCCGCUUCGAGCACCGCAACCCCGGCCCGUGCACCCACCGCGCCACGAGCGCCUCCGCGAUGUCUAGGGGCGGCUCGUCCAGCGCGACCGCGAGCCCCACGAGCGGCGGCACGAGGGGCCGCUGCUGCUGCUGGGGCGUUGCCUGCCUCGACCGCGGAGGGGCGGGGGUAGAUAGGUGAGGCAGGUCUACUUCGAACGCCCGAACUCACCGGGUGUACAAUGUUCUAAUAAUUUCCCUGAACACUCCCUUAUUUAAUGGAAGUGUUGAGGGUCCUUUCCGUAUAAAUGGUAGACUUGAAUUUCGGACCAUUAUAAAACGACCUAUUUUCAUACUGGGGGUUCUAACGUCUAGAACCAAACAGUUCUGAACAACUAAGUUAUCUUUGUCUACUUGGUCUAUACGCGGUCCCUUGUGACAUUCAACUACCUACUAGUAUGAGACUCGGCAAGUAAAAAAGUUUCUAUAAGACUUUUUUUUUAGGAACAUAAAAAUUGAUUGAUAAUUGGUAUAUUUAAUUCCAAUAGGGAAAUACUCUAUAAGACUUAUUUGUCUACUUGGUAAAUAAAAUAGAGGACGGUUUUAUUACUCUACUAGAUAUAAAUACAGGGAAGAUAAAAUUAAUCUAUCACAAUAGUCCCUAUAUAUCAAAACCUUCAAGUUUGAUCUAGAUAAGUAAUAAUAAUCAUCAACUCGACGACUAACAUUGUUAUACGAAUGCACUCAAAGUCUGAUUCACGAGAUUAUAAGUAAUAAUCAGUUUAAUGAAUGAUAACUUUACAGCACCAAGAGAUAUAUACAGUAGAGAGUAACCUACAGACUUAAAUCUGAGGCCGACAUCCCAACAAACACAACACACCAUACUUAACGGAAACAUGAAGUUUUACGUACAUAGUUCACAGCUAAAAGAUUAUUUUGCUAGACAUAUAGACGUAAUGUCAACCUUAUAAGUAUACAUACCAAAGUACGAAGGUUCUUAUUGUUUGUGAUACGUGGGUCGAGAGAGAAAACACCGGUGAUUGGUAAGUGAAAGAAAACAAGGAUGUUGGACGUAACCGCAUUCAAACUAAAAUAUAACGGAUGAAGUUCGUGGCUACCUGGUGGUGUACAAACUUAAUAAACAAAAAGUCUCUAAUAAAGAGACCUAAAGGUAAAAAUAACUAGUCUUCCGUGCCCACGUCCAUAGUUGUUAAUGUCACAACUCACCAGCAUUGGUGGGUGAAAACACGGGUGUAAAAAGUUUUUAUGACGUUUCUAUGUAAACUAAAAUUAAUACAAUUUUUGUUGCCAAACCAGACCUGAUUCAUGUUUCAUGGUUUAACUGUAAAGGGGAACCAAUAAAUGAAUGACAUGACACAGUCUACCGUUAUUCAUCCACUUAAUAUACGACCCAACGUUUAACAUGAAGAUUCAUUCUGGUGUACUUGACGAUUAGUCUAAUAGGCACAUUAUUUUAGAAGAAAUUAGAUUCGAAGUUUCGAUGUACUUGAUGGUAUAAAAGACUAAACAACCGACGUGAUUUUUAUCCCUGUACGAGAUUAUCAAUAAACGUCAUCAUGACAAUCGGUUAACUAUGAUCCACACGUACUUAUAAACGGAACGGUCAUACUAAACUAAGCCUGCACCUACCCAGGACAGAAAAUAAGACGAACAAAGAAGGGCACAAGGAGUAGAAAGACCUACACAGCGUCAACCCUGCCACCGCACGGCCUUCCCGACAGAACGCUCAACUGGCCUCACCCUCAUGUGGUCUCUCCGAAGACUCUACCGACUCCCUAGACAGAUUCCAAACGACCAACUAAACAGGACCGACCCCAGACGAACAAGAGAACCGAGGACCCGACACGACGAGCUUCAACGAAGUGACCAAAGGAACGUCCGUGGGUUCGAAAAGAAGCGCGCUACCGUAGUCCGUGUGCCUCCCUCGAGAAGAAGUAGCCACGCUACUUGUUACUGGCACUAGAGGCAAGGUGUGGCAGUGGUCGAUCGUUCUACUUCGUAAGACAGUGCCAAUCCGGCUUCCGAUACGAAUCGCGGCAAGAACGACUUCUACCAAAUGGGCUCCACUUCAUGUUCUGGACGCGUAGGAUGGCACCGGCACACCGCCGAUGAGGUAGUGUCAGCGCAAGUAGACGUCGCCGUCUCGUAUACUCCUAGUUACCGCUGGGUCGACACCUACGGUUACCCGGUACGUUUUACGACGAGGAGCCACGCGACGAGGAGCCACGAACCUCGUAGAAGUCCGGUGGUACCUAUAACUUAAACUGACGGGAGUUUACGUCUUUUAAUUCUGGCUCUACUUCAUGGACAGCCCGUCACAGCUGCUCUUUCUGUCCUUCUAGUCUCUAGACUUCCGAUUCCGCCCAGUUGCCCGAAUGGUUCCCGACCCCAGUGACCGUCUAAUGGACGAGCCUAGACGUAUACUAGUUCGAAACGAAGGCUGACCAAGAAGUCAUCAAGCAAAAAAUAGUAUCGACUUUUACGUAACGUGGCACAUACGAAUGAGAGGAUACUACGAAAGAUGCGAGAACACAAUCCAUUCCCCGUCAUGAACGAAGCUAGUAAAACUAAGACUAAUCUAGAAAUAAAGGUAAACUGAAGGACGACAUAGAAGUAGAGGUAAAUUGAAUAACUAUACCAAAACAAAGUAAGACAAAAUCGCAUGAAUGUUAAUUAUUGAAAUAUUAGUUGAGGACUGCAGUGAUAAAGCAUCAAACAAAACAAAUCUUGUUGAACUGUACGUGGGAAAAUGGAGUGCGUGAGUUCUAUAUUAUAAAUAGAAAUAAAUAUAUAUGUUGUUGAAGUACCUACCCACAAACCUCCAAAGACUCCGACGUAAUACUUAUCCACUAUAAUUCGCUUAUGGUCAUAAAAAUCCACGUAAAAUAGCCGGUAGAUAAAUGUCGAAGUCAAUGAAGUAUGCAAUCAGGGUAAACUUGUGUACCACUAUUAUAGUACGAAAGAAGAAUAGCAGCCUUAUCGUCGGACCCAAUGACGAUUGAAUUGUAAUGUGCGAACUGGUUUUGCAAGCCUGGCCGUGGGAGUGCAGUUCCGCGCAUGGGCUAGAUCAACAUAAACUGGUACCCAAGAUCGAACCGUAGUCCCUGUUUGAUGUCCCCCUGUAGUUAGCGAGAGCGGAGAGCGAAUAGGUGAACAAUACGUUGAACACUACUAACCCGGGUUUCUCUCCGUAACCGAUAUACGGAUAUACAUGUAGUUAUUACGAGGUCCAAGGUGAGUUUUUUUUUUUUUUUUGAGGUACAAUCGGUCGGUACAGCCGGUUCACUGAUAACUACUAUAGGAUGUCCAUUAAGGCCAGUAAUAGUUCCACCAAUCACUGUGACUGUGGUAUAGACCAGGUCGUCGAUUUGUGUCGUCCAUCUUCUUCCUUUUUUUUCCAGAGAGACCUAAUAACAUGAUCUGAACAAUUAAACGCGGUAAUACUCAAUCAUAAAAACAUAUAGAAGUGGACAGACAAGUACAUGAAUAAAUGUAUUUUUUUAGGUAGACCCACAAAUAAUAUCUUACUAUCUACGUACUGUGCCUAUUUGUAAACUCGAUAUUAUGACAUCUAUCAUCAUAAAGAGUCAACAAAGUUAAGUGCGUCGUCUCAUCAGUAGAAGCAACGAUUGUGAUCUCUUUUUUUUGAUCAAAAGACAGGUUCAUGAAUACCUCUUCGCAAGCGAACUUAACGUCCACCUUGACCGGUGAGUCUAGUUGUAUAUAGUAUUAGUUGUCGGCUGUACGUGUGAGUUGCGGCUUCUGCUGUUAAAACCUCUUCGAUACCGUUCGCAACAAUUUUCAAUCCUUUUCUACGAGUCAUACCCUUCGAUAGUCGUUAUUGUCAACCUAUAGGUUUUAGUUUGCUGACAGUCUGGUAUCAACGGUCUUUAAACCCAGCUAGCCCAGCUCCUUGCCCCAGCGCCCUGC